UACGUAGGGGGCAAGCGUUGUCCGGAUUUAUUGGGCGUAAAGAGCGUGUAGGCGGCCAAGCAGGUCAGCUGUGAAAACUCGAGGCUCAACCUCGAGACGUCGGUUGAAACCGCUUGGCUAGAGUCCGGAAGAGGAGAGUGGAAUUCCCGGUGUAGCGGUGAAAUGCGUAGAGAUCGGAAAGAACACCAACGGCGAAAGCACUCUGCUGGGCCGACACUGACACUGAGAGACGAAAGCUAGGGGAGCGAACAGG
rnacentral:rRNA from 1 species